GUCUACAGCCAUGCCACCCUGAACAAGCCCAAUCCUGUCUGAUCUUAGAAGCUAAGCAGGGUUGGGCCUGCUUAGUACUUGGAUGGGAGACCACCUAGGAACACCAGGUGCUGUAGGCG
rnacentral:rRNA from 1 species